rnacentral:rRNA from 1 species
GACGAACGCUGGCGGCGUGCUUAACACAUGCAAGUCGAGCGGUAAGGCCCUUCGGGGUACACGAGCGGCGAACGGGUGAGUAACACGUGGGUGACCUGCCCUUAGCUCUGGGAUAAGCCUGGGAAACUGGGUCUAAUACCGGAUAUGACCUCAUGACGCAUGUUGUGGGGUGGAAAGCCUUGUGCGGCUAGGGAUGGGCCCGCGGCCUAUCAGCUUGUUGGUGGGGUGAUGGCCUACCAAGGCGACGACGGUAGCCGGCCUGAGAGGGCGACCGGCCACACUGGGACUGAGACACGGCCCAGACUCCUACGGGAGGCAGCAGUGGGGAAUCUUGCGCAAUGGGCGAAAGCCUGACGCAGCGACGCCGCGUGA